GUCUUAUGGUAGCUCAGAUGGAAGAGCACCGGGCUAACGAUCCGGUCGUGGGUUCAAAUCCCACCCAAGACA